rnacentral:rRNA from 1 species
AUUGAACGCUGGCGGCAGGCCUAACACAUGCAAGUCGAACGAGUGGCGGACGGGUGAGUAAUGUCUGGGAAACUGCCUGAUGGAGGGGGAUAACUACUGGAAACGGUAGCUAAUACCGCAUACCAUCAGAUGUGCCCAGGUGGGCUUAGCUAGUAGGUGGGGUAACGGCUCACCUAGGCGACGAUCCCUAGCUGGUCUGAGAGGAUGACCAGCCACACUGGAACGGAGACACGGUCCAGACUCCUACGGGAGGCAGCAGUGGGGAAUAUUGCACAAUGGGCGAAAGCCUGAUGCAGCCAGGCCGCGUGUAUGAUGAAGGCCGUCGGGUUGUAAAGUACUUUCAGCGGGGAGGCGUUACCCGCAGAAGAAGCACCGGCUAACUCCGUGCCAGCAGCCGCGGUAAUAC